UACUUUGCAAUUUAAUUUAAUGAACGCUAUUUACACUUCCAUUUCAGUUUCUAGUAACCAAACGAAUGCUUUAACAGCUUUACUGGUUUCAAAGGACCCAUGCCUCAUGCCCGUCUCAGCUUUAGUUUACAUGAAGGAAACUGAAAAUGCAGAUGUCACAUAGGCUUCGUGCUUCAGCAGCAGUAGCAGCAGCUCUCCAUACCACUCUGGGCACAAUUUCUUCAGAUAGUUUUUGGUCAGCUACCUUGAAAAAGCACCUCCAAGAUCAUUCUGCAGCCUGGCUAAGGAUGAAGAUAACUGAUAAACUAUUAUAUACCAAAAAGAUGUUGACAUGGAAAUUUUACCAAGCCUCCACCCCCAGAGUUAGGGUUGUUCAAAAGAGUAUCUCUUGUCUAGAGCUAUGGCUGUGUCACAAGCAAAGGAGCUGAAGGUUGAAAGGUAAAUAAGCACAAAGGAAUCAUCAGUACAAAGAGAGACUGUGACAAGACUAGACAAUUCUAUUCAAAAUUUUGAGAACUGGAGUAUAACAAAUGAGAAUGAAGAAACCAAUGAUGGAAACAUCAAGAUGAGACCCAAUGGACCAUUAGGAGGUGGGUCUAUAAAAACUCUGAAGACAACACCAUGCUACUUGUUGCUGGCUUCUGUAUGUUAUUUCUGACACAAUGCUUAGGCAGUCUUGCUCCACUAAGAAAAAGCUGGUAGAACACAUAUAGACACUAAUAACAUGUUAAUUAUAUUAAAAAUAUGGGGCUUAUUUUAAAAUACAACUUAACUAAUAGAGUGAAAACAAUACACUGGUUGUCGUUAAACUUCCCCUUUUCUUCAUUCAUCAAAAGUGUAUCUACUGAAUACCUAACAUAAAGAAAUCAUUUAUACUGGGGUAAAUUACACAUCAAUCUAAACUUCCAGAAAAUUUUAUUCAUUAUAUAAAGUUAAAUAAGGUUGUAAAUAUCUAGAGUCCAAGGUAAAUGUGAUAUAUAUCAUAAGCGAUGUACAAAAAACAUACUGUCUGGGCACUGUGACUCAGGCCUGUAAUCCCAGUACUUUGGGAGGUCAAGGUGGGAGGAUUGCUUGAGCCCAGGAGUUUGAAACCAGCCUGGCCAACAGGGCGAAAUCCCAUCUCUACAAAAAAUACAAACAUUUGUCGGGUAUGGUGGUGCAGGACUGUAGUCCUACCUAUUCUGGAGGCUGAGGCGGGAAGAUCACUUGAUCCUAGGAGGCAGAGGUUGCAGUGAGCCGAGACCGUGCCAUUGCACUCUAGCCUGGGAGAGAGAGUUAAACUCUGUCACAACAAAACAAAACAAAAAAUACAUGCUGGGAAAGUUCAAAGAAUGGGGUCAUUUCCAGGGAAAUUUCCACAGAUGAUGUCAUAGACAACCUUGACUUUGAGGAAGAGCUAGGAUAUACAAAGUCCCAGAUAUUGGUGAGAAGAAAUCACUAAUGCUAUGGUCA
ensembl:lincRNA